AAUUAUAUGAGUUUGAUGAUGGCUCUGAUUGAAUGCUAUCCAAGUAGUUGACACAUGCUAAUCGAACGUCAUUAUUAUAAAAUAAUGAAGUGGUGUACAGGUGAGAAAUAUAUUCUGGCUACCUUAAAGAAAGGGGAAAAUCCCUUAUUAAAAAAAAAAAACAAAUUGUUUUGCUUUAAGAUGUUAAUAAAUAUAACGGUAAGUAGUAGAUAAGGUAAUAACUUAACUAGCGUAAACUCCGUAGUCGUAACUGAGAAGUUGAUCGAUCACAUUGGGUCUGAAAAAACCCCAAGGCGUAUUAGUACAGCAGUGAGGAAUAUUGGUCAAUGGCCUAAAGGCUGAACCAGCAACUUGGAAGAAUGAGAUGUUGCAUCAUUUUUUAGCAGCUUUGCAUGCAUGAAGUUCUAAAUAAAUUAAUGAUAAUGACAAUUAUUUAUUUAUAAGUCUUGACAAAAUUACGUGCCAGCAGUCGCGGUAAUACGUAAGAGACUAGUGUUGAUCAUUUUUAAUGGGUUUAAAGUGUACUUAGACGGUAAAAAAGCCCAAAAGGGUACUUUUUUACUAGAGUUUUAUAAAAGAAGAAGAGAAUUUUUGGAGUAGAGAUGAAAUUUUUUGAUACUAAAAGGACUGAUAAGCGUAGGCAAUCUUCUAUUUAAAUACUGACGUUGAAGGACGAAGGCUUGGGUAGCAAUAAGGAUUAGAUACCCUAGUAGUCCAAGCAGAAAAUUAUGAAUGUCAUAAGUUUGAUAUAAAUUGAGCUUAUAAAUGAAAGUGAAAGCAUUCCACCUCAAAAGUAAGAUGGCAACAUUGAAACUGAAAUCAUUAGACCGUUUUUAAAACCAGUAGUGAAGUAUGUUAUUUAAUUCGAUAACCCGCGAAUAACCUUACCACAAUUUGAAUAAUAUUAAUUUAUUACAAGCGCUGCACGGCUGUCUUAAGAUAAUGUCGUGAGAUUUGGACACUCUAAUUAACUAAAACCCAAAUAUUAUUUUUAUAAAAAAAUAAUAUGUUUCAUGGCUUGUAAUUGGAGCAUAGGGCAUAAGACAAGUCAUCAUGGCCAAAAUAUUGUGGGCUAUAGACGUGCCGCAGAUACCAUAACAAAAGGAUGCUAUCUUGUGAAAAGGAGCUAAUCCUUAAAAUUGGUUAAUAAGAAUUGUAAUCUGUAACUCGAUUACAUGAAUAAGGAAUUACUAGUAAUCGUGAAUCACUACGUCACGGUGAAUUUGUUUUUAAUUGGGUACUAACCACUCGUCAGGCGCUGAAAGAAGUAUGUGCAAUAAGUUUGAUUUGUAUUUAUUAAAUUAUAUAUAUUUAUUUAUAUAUUAAUAAAUAUAUAAUUUUCGUAUGUGUGACUUUGAUUGGUGUUAAGUCGAAAUACGGUUCGUGUAAUGGAAAUUGCACGGGAUUGAUUAGCCUU
rnacentral:rRNA from 1 species